rnacentral:misc_RNA from 1 species
UACAGAGGGUGCAAGCGUUAAUCGAAAUGACUGGGCGUAAAGGGCGCGUAGGUGGGAGCUCAAGUUAGAUGUGAAAGUCGCAGGCUUAACCUGGGAAGGCCAUUUAAGACUGAGUUUCUUGAGUACAGGAGAGGGAAGAGGAAUUUCCGGUGUAGCGGUGAAAUGCGUAGAUAUCGGAAAGAACACCAGUGGCGAAGGCGACUUUCUGGCCUGAUACUGACACUGAGGCGCGAAAGCGUGGGGAGCGAACAGG